AUACAAGGUAGAGGUUGCAAAGGACAAGAGUAGAUUGGUGGAGCUAGACAAGGCUUUGAAGUCAAUUGAAAGGGGAGUUUGCCGAAAUAAAAAUUCGUCAAAAUUUUUAUUGGGGAUAUAGAGAAUAUCUAUAUAACUGUCAUUAGGUAUCUAAUGUUGUGCUAUCCAAAGU
rfam:Cetobacterium somerae ATCC BAA-474 genomic scaffold Scaffold38, whole genome shotgun sequence.